AAUGAACGCUGGCGGCAUGCCUAACACAUGCAAGUCGAACGAGACCUUCGGGUCUAGUGGCGCACGGGUGCGUAACGCGUGGGAACCUGCCCUUAGGUUCGGAAUAACUCCCCGAAAGGGGUGCUAUACCGGAUAAUGUCUUCGGACCAAAGAUUUAUCGCCUUUGGAUGGGCCCGCGUUGGAUUAGCUAGUUGGUAGGGUAAAAGCCUACCAAGGCGACGAUCCAUAGCUGGUCUGAGAGGAUGAUCAGCCACACUGGGACUGAGACACGGCCCAGACUCCUACGGGAGGCAGCAGUGGGGAAUAUUGGACAAUGGGCGAAAGCCUGAUCCAGCAAUGCCGCGUGAGUGAUGAAGGCCUUAGGGUUGUAAAGCUCUUUUACCCGGGAUGAUAAUGACAGUACCGGGAGAAUAAGCUCCGGCUAACUCCGUG
rnacentral:rRNA from 1 species